GAAGCACUGAGAGGAAGGUAUUUUUUUGAACAGAGUGGCAGGGCCAAAAUUUAAAGGGAAAGGUUAGCGAAGAGUGGCCACCUGGUCCUGGAGAGUUAGAGUUCCGCGCGCUCUCCGGAGCCGUUGUGAGAGGAUUUCCGAUCCCAUCCCAUAACGGAGUCCCGAAGCCAACUCACCCACACCCAAAAGAAAAGAGAGCCGCCAGCAGCCCGAAUCAGGCCAUGCCCUUGAACCUAGUUCAAGGGCGAUAGAAGAGAGAGCGAUGGGGAUCGGCAGCCGGGAGCAUUAAACAGAACAGCCAAGAGGGGGUUCAGAAAAAAAAGUUCCCGCAACGGAGGAGCAAGCGCGCCGGACAUAGCGACUUAGCGAUUUUUUUUUGUUCUGAAAGAAAAAGGGAUCCAGAUCAGGGAAAGACCAGGAGCCAGGACCAGGAAGCAUAAGAGUGAGUCCGCUCCAAAGGGGGAGUAAAGAAACCCCAAAUUUAUUUUUUUUGUUGGCCGUAGGGAAUAGGUCACAGCUCCGCCACCCUGGCUUGUCUUUCCUGCUGGUCUCGAAGGAGCAGAUUUGGCCACGUAGUGCGGGACCCUCGCCCACUUAGGGAGAAGAAAAAAAAAAGCACAUCAACUUAUUUACUCCCAUUAAUUAUUGUUGUUAGACGUCUCCAGUUAUAAGUAUAUGUAAUUUAAGUCCGUCCAUAUUUAUUAUAUAUAUGUAACCUAUUUAUUUAUAUUUAUUAUAUUAUUUAUUCCUAUUAAUCUAAUUAUUUAUUAACCGCCAGUAGUACUAAGAUGAGGGGGGGAUGAAUAGGCAGGCCUAGUUUAGAAAUGAUAUCGUGUGAAAAUAGGAAAUGAAGUGAAAAUUAUAACGAAGAAAUGAA
rnacentral:sRNA from 1 species